rnacentral:lncRNA from 1 species
CGUGGACAGACACAAACUGGAGGGACAGAGAUAUGGAUGGGAACUGAAGCAGGGGAAAGGAGCAUCCUAAGCCUGCCUUGAUGCCCAGCAGGUGUCCCACCUAAUCCAUCCCCCCAGGUUAGCCUCAGCUGUCCGAAGGCUGUUGGGGAGACUCGGUUCCCUGAGUGACAUCUGAGGAGCAACUGCAGAGAGAGGAUGGCCCAGGUCCUGCAUGUGCCCGCCCCAUUCCCAGGAACCCCUGGCCAAGCCUCCUCAGCGGCCUUCCCCAACAAGGAGCCAGACCCGCCAUACUCGGUGGAGACGCCCUAUGGCUACCGCCUGGACCUGGACUUUCUUAAGUACGCGGAUGUCAUGAUGGAGUCUUUGCACGUGUAUAAAACAGAAAACCAAACUGUAGGACAGCCGCUGGUGUCUCCGGACGCUCACAGCCUAGGGUACAUUCAUAAGGCUGUGCUCUGAGCUGAGCCCCGAGUUCCAGCCUUGUAGCCAGCAAGGGAGUUUAUUUAAGGUUCUGGAAGCAUCAGCUAUGACCCCAAAGCACACACUCCUCAGAAAAGCCCCUGUCUGUUUCUGCCACUGCUGCUUUCUGUGUCUCUGUGAGGGGGCCACCAGGGCCAAACACCGGUCUCUCCUCUCCUUUCCUGUAUACUCAUGUUGUAUUUCUACUCCGUGACCACGGUACGUCCAUGAAGACAGUGUUACACGUAAAUGAAGUAUUCUUUUCUUGUAAUCAUGUUUUAGAAAGUAAAGGGACUUAAUAAAGCUGCAAACAAG